rnacentral:rRNA from 1 species
AUUGAACGCUGGCGGCAUGCUUUACACAUGCAAGUCGAACGGUAACAGGCCUUCGGGUGCUGACGAGUGGCGAACGGGUGAGUAAUGCAUCGGAACGUGCCCAGAGGUGGGGGAUAACGCAGCGAAAGCUGUGCUAAUACCGCAUGUGAUCUGAGGAUGAAAGCGGGGGACCAGGCAGCAAUGUUUGGCCUCGCGCCUUUGGAGCGGCCGAUGUCAGAUUAGGUAGUUGGUGGGGUAAAGGCCUACCAAGCCGACGAUCUGUAGCUGGUCUGAAAGGACGAACAGCCACACUGGGACUGAGACACGGCCCAGACUCCUACGGGAGGCAGCAGUGGGGAAUUUUGGACAAUGGGCGCAAGCCUGAUCCAGCAAUGCCGCGUGCGGGAAGAAGGCCUUCGGGUUGUAAACCGCUUUUGUACGGAACGAAAAGGCUCUGGCUAAUACCUGGGGCUGAUGACGGUACCGUAAGAAUAAGCACCGGCUAACUACGUG